GCUCAACCGAAGAAGUGCAUCGGAAACUGGGAAGCUUGAGUGCAGAAGAGGACAGUGGAACUCCAUGUGUAGCGGUGAAAUGCGUAGAUAUAUGGAAGAACACCAGUGGCGAAGGCGGCUGUCUGGUCUGUAACUGACGCUGAGGCUCGAAAGUAUGGGUAGCAAACAGGAUUAGAUACCCUGGUAGUCCAUACCGUAAACGAUGAAUGCUAAGUGUUGGAGGGUUUCCGCCCUUCAGUGCUGCAGCUAACGCAUUAAGCAUUCCGCCUGGGGAGUACGGCCGCAAGGCUGAAACUCAAAGGAAUUGACGGGGGCCCGCACAAGCGGUGGAGCAUGUGGUUUAAUUCGAAGCUACGCGAAGAACCUUACCAGGUCUUGACAUACUAUGCAAAUCUAAGAGAUUAGACGUUCCCUUCGGGGACAUGGAUACAGGUGGUGCAUGGUUGUCGUCAGCUCGUGUCGUGAGAUGUUGGGUUAAGUCCCGCAACGAGCGCAACCCUUAUUAUCAGUUGCCAGCAUUAAGUUGGGCACUCUGGUGAGACUGCCGGUGACAAACCGGAGGAAGGUGGGGAUGACGUCAAAUCAUCAUGCCCCUUAUGACCUGGGCUACACACGUGCUACAAUGGAUGGUACAACG
rnacentral:rRNA from 1 species